GGGCCCGCACAAGCGGUGGAGCAUGUGGUUUAAUUCGAUGAUACGCGAGGAACCUUACCAGGGCUUAAAUGUAGUCUGACAGGGGUGGAAACACCCCCUCCUUCGGACCACUUACAAGGUGCUGCAUGGUUGUCGUCAGCUCGUGCCGUGAGGUGUCAGGUUAAGUCCUAUAACGAGCGCAACCCCUGUUGUUAGUUGCCAGCGAGUCAUGUCGGGAACUCUAACAAGACUGCCGGUGCAAACCGUGAGGAAGGUGGGGAUGACGUCAAAUCAUCACGGCCCUUACGUCCUGGGCUACACACGUGCUACAAUGGUCGGUACAGAAAGCAGCCACUAUGCGAAUAGGAGCUAAUCUUUAAAACCGAUCUCAGUUCGGAUCGCAGUCUGCAACUCGACUGCGUGAAGCUGGAAUCGCUAGUAAUCGGAUAU
rnacentral:rRNA from 1 species